rnacentral:rRNA from 1 species
GGCCAGACUCCUACGGGAGGCAGCAGUGAGGAAUAUUGGUCAAUGGGCGCGAGCCUGAACCAGCCAAGUCGCGUGAGGGAGGACGGCCCUACGGGUUGUAAACCUCUUUUGCCGGGGAGCAACGGGCGUCACGUGUGGCGCCACUGAGAGUACCCGGAGAAAAAGCAUCGGCUAACUCCGUGCCAGCAGCCGCGGUAAUACGGAGGAUGCGAGCGUUAUCCGGAUUUACUGGGUGUAAAGGGAGCGUAGACGGCAAUACAAGUCGGAAGUGAAAUACCCGGGCUCAACCUGGGAACUGCUUUGGAAACUGUAUGGCUAGAGUGCUGGAGAGGUAAGCGGAAUUCCUAGUGUAGCGGUGAAAUGCGUAGAUAUUAGGAGGAACACCAGUGGCGAAGGCGGCUUACUGGACAGUAACUGACGUUGAGGCUCGAAAGCGUGGGGAGCAAACAGGAUUAGAUACCCUUGUA